UACGUAGGGGGCGAGCGUUGUCCGGAAUUACUGGGUGUAAAGGGCGUGUAGGCGGGGGUGCAAGUUACUGGUAAAAACCCGUGGCUCAACUGCGGGCUUGCCUGUAAAACUGCGUCUCUUGAGUGUAGUAGAGGGAAGUGGAAUUCCCGGAGUAGCGGUGAAAUGCGUAGAUACCGGGAGGAACACCAGGGGCGAAGGCGGCUUCCUGGCCUACUACUGACGCUGAGGCGCGAAAGCUAGGGGAGCGAACGGG
rnacentral:rRNA from 1 species